GCAUAUCAAUAAGCGGAGGAAAAGAAACCAACAGGGAUUGCCUUAGUAGCGGCGAGUGAAGCGGCAAAAGCUCAAAUUUGAAAUCUGGCACUUUCAGUGUCCGAGUUGUAAUUUGAAGAAGGUAUCUUUGGGUCUGGCUCUUGUCUAUGUUUCUUGGAACAGAACGUCACAGAGGGUGGGAAUCCCGUGCGAUGAGAUGACCCAGACCUAUGUAAAGUUCCUUCGAAGAGUCGAGUUGUUUGGGAAUGCAGCUCUAAGUGGGUGGUAAAUUCCAUCUAAAGCUAAAUAUUGGCGAGAGACCGAUAGCGAACAAGUACAGUGAUGGAAAGAUGAAAAGAACUUUGAAAAGAGAGUGAAAAAGUACGUGAAAUUGUUGAAAGGGAAGGGCUUGAGAUCAGACUUGGUAUUUUGUAUGUUACUCUUUCGGGGGUGGCCUCUACAGUUUACCGGGCCAGCAUCAGUUUGGGCGGUAGGAGAAUUGCAAAGAAAUGUGGCACUGCUUCGGUAGUGUGUUAUAGUCUUUGUCGAUACUGCCAGCCUAGACUGAGGACUGCGGCUUCGGCCUAGGAUGUUGGCAUAAUGAUCUUAAGUCGCCCGUCUUGAAACACGGACC
rnacentral:rRNA from 1 species